rnacentral:rRNA from 1 species
GAUGAACGCUGGCGGCGUGCCUAAUACAUGCAAGUCGAGCGAACAGACGAGGAGUUUGUUCCUUUGACGUUAGCGGCGGACGGGAGAGUAACACGUGGAUAAUCUACCUAUAAGACUGGGAUAACUUCGGGAAACCGGAGCAAAUACCGGAUAAUAUAUUGAACCGUAUGGUUCAAUAGUGAAAGACGGUUUUGCUGUCACUAAUAGAUGGAUCCCGGCCGCAUUAGCUAGUUGGUAAGGUAACGGCUUACCAAGGCAACGAUGCGUAGCCGACCUGAGAGGGUGAUCGGCCACACUGGAACGGAGACACGGUCCAGACUCCUACGGGAGGCAGCAGUAGGGAAUCUUCCGCAAUGGGCGAAAGCCUGACGGAGCAAGGCCGCGUGAGUGAUGAAGGUGUUCGGAUCGUAAAACUCUGUUAUUGGGGAAGAACAAAUGUGUAAGUAACUGUGCACGUCUUGACGGUACCUAAUCAGAAAGCCACGGCUAACUACGUG